UAUAGAUUUUGGAGUGGGCCAAUUCAGAGUCCUGCAGCUGGGCCUGGCUUUAGAGCUUUCUUUAAGGGACAGCACGAAGAAGGAAUGCUACUGUGACAAACUCAACACUGCAGCAACUGAACACAAAAUAUCAACCCUGUCUUCCUGAUUAACUGCCAAACUCCUAUCGCUUCUGUGGGAGGAGAUGAGGAGCUAGAUGCUUUGAAGAAUAAUGACUCACCAAUCAAAAUGAUUGGAAGACCCAGGCAUCAUCAUUUAGUCCUUAAGGUGAAGUAAGUAGAGAACUUGGACACUUGUUCUAAGCAUUGCCAGACCUGCAUCUCUCCACCCUAACCUAACUGCAUAAACUUGGCAUGGUGCCACAUG